AUUGAACGCUGGCGGCAGGCUUAACACAUGCAAGUCGAGCGGGGGAAGGUAGCUUGCUACCGGACCUAGCGGCGGACGGGUGAGUAAUGCUUAGGAAUCUGCCUAUUAGUGGGGGACAACAUCUCGAAAGGGAUGCUAAUACCGCAUACGUCCUACGGGAGAAAGCAGGGGAUCUUCGGACCUUGCGCUAAUAGAUGAGCCUAAGUCAGAUUAGCUAGUUGGUGGGGUAAAGGCCUACCAAGGCGACGAUCUGUAGCGGGUCUGAGAGGAUGAUCCGCCACACUGGGACUGAGACACGGCCCAGACUCCUACGGGAGGCAGCAGUGGGGAAUAUUGGACAAUGGGGGGAACCCUGAUCCAGCCAUGCCGCGUGUGUGAAGAAGGCCUUAUGGUUGUAAAGCACUUUAAGCGAGGAGGAGGCUACUUUAGUUAAUACCUAGAGAUAGUGGACGUUACUCGCAGAAUAAGCACCGGCUAACUCUGUGCCAGCAGGCGCCGUAA
rnacentral:rRNA from 1 species